GUCCCCUCCGCCCAGCCCUGCCGCCUCCCUCCCUCUGCACGGCCCGGCCCAGCCCAGCGCACAGGCACCUCCCAGCAGAGCCAGCACCCCAGCUCUGCUUCCUGGGGACCCCAAUCUGCCACUGCCGUGACAUCCGGUGCUGUCGUCCAAGAAUCCAGGGAGGGGGACACGUGACGAAGGUGCAUCGCGCAGAAGACAGCAGAGUGACGGCGUCUCAGGCCACAGGGCCAGGAGCUCACGCCCGCGGGGGCAGGUGGGGAAGGGGUGCUGGAUGCCGACACAGCACAGAUCUGGCCUCCCGGCCUCCCCGAUGCCGGGCCCUCGCCUGGAACACUUUUCCUCCACAUCUUCUCGGGGACCCUCUCCAUCCUCUGAUCUACCUGCCGGCCAGAUGCCAGGCUGAGUGCCAGGACCCGGCCGCUGCAGAGUCUCUAAGGACGCGUGGGUGGCCAGCCUAUCCAGUCUGUCCCACCAAGAGACGCCGGUGACAGGAACGUGUGACUGCUGCCAGGCGCCCCAUUGAGGAUGCUGUAAACCUGUGCACUGGGGGCUGUCGGGGCGGGGAGACACCUGCCAGCCCCCCUUUCCUGCAGGUUCUAGGCCACCUGGCAGAGGGGCUGGGACACCCAAGUGUGGGAUGUACCCCAGCACGUCUGUGUCGAGGUGACCAGGACCUUUCCUCCACUCCCUCCUGGGCUGGGCCUGCUAACGUCCCAUUCCUCCUGACCCCCCAGAAACGCUGGCUCGGGGAACAAGGCUGCUUUCCAGGCCUUGAGGACUUGGAGGUUAAUGUCGUCGAUCUCAGGCAGCUUUCCUGUAAUUCAGUAUGUCCAGUCCCUUUGGCCAACUGUGAAAGACAUUUUCACACAUUGUUAACUUUCCCUGAUGGAUUUGCACAGGUUGCAGCCAGGGCCCGGUAUGUGGGGAUGUCCAGGCUCCUCCGCGGGGGGUGGUGUGGGACCCUCCCCUCCCUCACCAGGGGCAAGAGGGCAGCAAAGGGACAGCGUGGACACACUCAACUCCCCAGGCUUCCUGAGGUUUGGGGAGACUUCAUCCGCCAGAGGCGCCCAGGGGAGAGGAGGCUGCAGUGUCUGGGGGGCAGUGGGGAAGUGGGGGCCUGCUGGGAGCCCCCCACCCAGCAAGGUUCUGCUGCGGAGGCCUGUGCGGCCCUGGCGCCGCCUGGUGGUGCUGCCCAGAACUGCAGGCACAUCAGCUGCCCCGAGGCCUCCGCCCUGGAGGUGACGGGGGCGGCCGAGGCACAGCUCUCACCGACCGACACCUGGAGUCAUUCCCCGACACCCUGGCGCACAGAGAAACUGAAAACAGUCUCCUUACCACCCUUGGGGGAGCUCUCCUGUCCCCGGCUCAGCUGGAGGACCCCCGGCGGUGCCCCCCGCCCCAGGGUGAAGCCCCUCGUUUCCAGGCGGCGAGGAUCCCGGGAGCUCUGUGUCGGGCUGGACCGAAGGCCGAGCCCUGGGCCCUGAGGCCCCACAGCAUGGGGCUGGUCUCCGCCGUCCCCUCUCCAGCGUCAGCCGGCUACUUGUGGGUGGACGGGACAGAUGUCGGUGCAGGGCUGGCGUUCCGGCGGGGAUGGGAAGGCAGACACACAGCAGAACGGAAAGGUCCGGGACGCGGCACCGUGUACGAGCUGGACUCUGAGACCGCAGCGCAGGCCGACCCCGUGGAUGCAGAGGGGGACAGAGGCUCCAGAAGCCACCAGGGAGCCGCCUGGCUUCCCUGACGACAUCCACCCAUCAAGGGGAGUGUCUUUCUACUCCGCUCGAGCUGGAGCCCCAGCAAAGCUCGGCCUGCGCCUCGUUUCUGUUGUCGUUGGUCCGAGAACCUGACUCCGGUAACAGUCAGAUGCUGGAUGCACCUAGAGCGCUGUGGGGCAAGCUUCCCGGUGACUUCAGUGUGGGGCAGGUCCUGUUGUCUGAACCCCUUGCGGUGAGUUAAGUGGUGGCCAAAAAGAAGAAGACACGUCCCGUCCCUCCUCCCCGGAAACUGAAUGUGAAGUUGUGUGGAGAAGGGGUCUUUGUCGGUGUAAUGAAGUUAAGGGUUGUGGAGGUGCGAUUGUGCUGGGUUGGCUGGGUGGAGCCUGAAUCCAGUGAAGGUGUCCUUACACGAGACACCAGGGGAGGCACACGGCAGAGAGAAGAGAAAGCCACGUGGGGACAGAGACCGAAGUCAUGAGCCGAGGGUCGCAUGCAGCCCCCAGAAGCUGCAAGAGGUGGGCAGGACCCUCCCCUAGAGCCCCUGGAGGGACCGCAGCCCCGCCAGCCUUGAUGUGGGACUUCUGGCCUCCAGGAUGGGGAGAGAAUAACCGUCUGCGGGUUGAAGGCCCAGGUUUACGGGACUUUGUUGUGACAGCCCCAGGACGCCAAUGCGCCCCUCCUUUUAACCCUGAGGAAACUGAGCCCCCAAGGGGCUGCUUGCCUGCCCAGGUCUGCCCGCAGUCGGUGGAGGAAAACCCAGUCACUCUCACACCACUGCUCUGCUGGGGCUUGGCUACGACGGGCAGGGUGUGACCCUCGCCUGGGACAUUUCAACUGUGUAGUUGCGGAUGUCUGUUCCAGCCUGCCAGGAUCUUUGGGGAUCAAGUUCCGUUUUGCAGCUACUACUGUAUUCGGGGCCAUAGGCACCCCGUUAAAGGACUGUAUCUCCCACCCUCCCUUCCAGAUGACUGCGUCCAGGAGGCUCAGUUCCGCCACUGAUACGAAAGAGAAGUCUCACCCGAGUCCUUACAAGUAGGACUUAACCUGGAUUCCAGCCAGAAGGGCAGGUGCAAGGGAACCUGGGGGUGUAGUUUUCCAGCGCAUGGUGGUGAGGCUAUGAUCGCCGCAGGUUGGUCUUGCUACCAAGUGGAGGUGGGGUAACUCACAAAGGAGGGAAAAGAGAAGGGCACAAAUCUACGUGGGAAGCGUCUGCCCAGGGCAGGGCGUGAAUAUAAUCGCCACGGGUGGUGAAGAGUCAGCCCUGUCGGCAUCAGUACGGGUGGGCAGUGAAUGCUACUUUCAGGAUCCUGGGAGUCAGCUUGUUGGACCUGAGGACAGGCACACCGCCCCUCCUUGCUGCCAGUCAGAAGGAAGGACGUCGGGAGCACUGGGGUAGAGUUCCACAGACCCAGCUGCAUGA